rnacentral:tRNA from 1 species
GGGCCUUUAGCUUAGUUGGUUAAAGCGUCCGGCUCAUAACCGGAUGACCCUGGGUUCGAGCCCCAGAAGGCCCA